GGUCCCUUCCAACACCUUCCCUGAUUCUGUGAUUUCUUAAAUAUUGAAAAAAGUAUUCUGACAUGUGAAGACAUUAGAGACAACACAGGAAAGAUGUUAAAAUACAGUUUCUAAGUUAGUAGUUACCUUUUCAUGAUAAAGAUUUGAUUCAUUAAAGAAAUGGUAUGUAGGCUGCUGAAAUAAUGCUUUUAUGUGAAUAAAACCAGAGCAGGUCAAAACUAAUGUUCUUUGUAAAGCAAUGUGCAUAUCUUGGUGCAAGUACUGUGACUCUGCAGCUUAGGCUGGUGAAAAGGUACGUGCCUAACUUUGCACAUUUUGUAGUUUUGUGGUUUGAAGCAAGGCUGCUUUUGCAUAAAGUAGAUUGUAUACAUGAGUCACUGAUGAGUAGGCACUUGCUCACUAUUAGGUGAGAUCUGUGCUUUGGCUGCUCUUAUAUCUUUCAGUGAUAAGAUCCCACGGUACUGUUGCAACAGCAAUAGAAGUUUCACAGUCCCUUGAAAACACUGUAAGUAAUGGAAUUACACUGUGUACUUUAGUGGUUAGUAUUUUCCUUGUGGUUCCAGAUGAAUGAAUUGUACUUCAUUUUUUCUUUCCUUUCAAACAAUUUUGAUAGCAUUCCUAGCGUGGAUUAAAAAAGAUAAACCCACAUAUAAUUGCAAUAAUCAAAUAUAGACUUUUUACAUGUAUCUUUAUAUUCAUAACCACAUUUUUAGAGACAUUUAUCUAUGCUUUUUUCAUAUAAUACUUUAAUUAUUGGAUUUCCUGAAAUAUUAUUACCAGUGCUCUCCAUGUAAAUACAAAUUUUUAUUGUGGAGACAUUACUGUAUUUCAGGAAGCACUUAUUUUCUCUUUCAUUCUCUGAAAUCAGUGUGAGCCCUCCCCUCUUUUAAUUAUACCCGUAUUUUACCUUGUUUUAUGGGAAGAGUUGUAGCAAUAACUACAGUUAAGGUUGCCUAACACUUUCUGUUGUAUGGAUUCUGUACAUAAGAAGAGAGGGAGAGGGUACAAUAAAACAAGUCAAGAUUAGCAAAGUUAAUUUUAUCUGGCUUACUUCAAAAACCAGAAAGAUUUAUUAGGGACUCAGUCUUGUAUUUUUAAGUGCAAUUUGACUGAUAUAAUUUUAAAUAAUUAUUGUUAUGUAGUUCAAAAGAAUGGCAAAGACAUUACUUCACAGUGUUACUAAAGAAACAAAUAGAGAAUUAUCAGUAUUUUAACCUAUAAAAUAUUUUAAAAAUACAUGUUUUCCAACAAUGUUAAAGAAGCAUCAUAUACCUUCUUGUUUUUCCCAGACUAUUGCUUAAGGCUAAUAUUAGCAACACUUUGUACCAGCACUAUGAUUUAUUAAUUAAAAUUAUCUUAAAUUGUAACAUCUUUAAUACUGCUGGAGAUGGUAAAGUGUAUAUAAUUAUUUCUUUGAAAAAGAAAGGAAUUAUAAAAUUUUAAAUUACUGUUUUCUGUAACACAUUGCCAUUAUUUCAAGUAGUGUUUACUUCCCUUGCUCAGAAUACCAUUUAUGAUAUUUGAUUGCAAAUGUUUUUGUAUAAGGGACAGAAGGAUUAUUUUCUAAAUAUUUGUCUUUGGUAUUAUAGUAGCUAAAAGUAUAGAAUCUGAUUUAAGCUAGGAGCACAGGUACGUGUGUGUUCGACACAGACCUUCACUAAAAAAGGUUCUGAGAUCCUUUCAUAAAAACGUGGAAGUCCUAAUCCAAAGUUCACUGUACUUGGCAGCGUUGCUCUGUUUCCACUGAUAUCUGCCUUUGGCAAUUAUGGAGUAGAAAAACAUCUACACUACUUGUAUAAAUAUCAUAGCAGUCUUUGUAUAUUUGCUAGUAAAGGGGUCCUUCAUCUGCCACUACAUCAAAAGGGUCUGCACAGCCACUCACAAAGGAAUAAUAGUAAUAAAAAUCCUGCAGAAGCUGUGCAUGAAGCUGCUAUUUGGAGAAUGGCCCCCACCUGGCUCCAUUCAGACAGGAGUUAGCCAUUGUCAGGAGAACACCUAAGUGCACUCAGCACGGACUUCUAGUCUGCUACUAGACCCUGCCUGGAACAGCAUCCGAAUUGCUUGUGUGCAAGGAGGCAAACUGUUCCAGCAGCAGGAUGCCGAGAUACACAGAUUGGCUCAUGUUCAUAAUACUUGGGGUGAUCUCAUAUUGAUACAGUGUUCAUAGUGUUUAAGGUCUCAUGUUUAUGUGGCUUGGGUAUAGCUUGUAUCUGUCUGAUCUGGAAUGGAGAAAUUUAGUUUUAGCAGUCCGUAGCACAGCCAGGGACUGUAUGAUGCUGGUUCUGAUCCAUGAGCCCUCUCCAUGCCUCUAUGUAACACAAAAGAUGUACCCAUAGAACGUUAGUCAGGAUCCAUAGCAAAUCAGCUGUAACACAAAGGCAAGUUAGCUGGUGUGACAGAGGCUGCUUGCCUGUGGUGGCUGAAAGUACAAGGGCUGCCCCAAAAGUAAUGCCUCCUAUUUUAUUAUGUUUGUGAUGUCAGAAGCAGAUGUUGGUGGUAUGGCAGCAGAUGUUGAACCUUCCACCAAUAUUCCAUCAUAUUUUGUUGCUGUGUGACAGAUGGCAGCAGAGGGCCAGUCUGACAGAACGACAUCUGACAUGGAAGUGCAUAUGAAGCAAAGCAGCAAAAGAGACAGCUGUAUUGACUCAGAGGACCUGAGGUCUGCCUGGAGCAUCCCACUUGAUAAGCAAUGAGAAGGUCCAGUGGCUGUGGCAAUAGUGGAGGACUGAGGACCAGCAGAGCCUGCAGACCAACUGCUGGAAACCGGGGACUGUCUAAGGUAUUUCACAAGGCUUUGAAAACUCAUGGAGGAUAGAAGAGACAGCAGAAGACUGAAUAAAUAACUCUUAGAAAAAUCGAUGGAAGAGUACCCAAGUAAUUUUAAUUAGGUAGCCUAACUUCCUGGAUUUCAGAAAAAAAUUACCAGUUUCUAAAUGAAAGGUGAUAAAAACUUGCUGACAUGCCUCUAUCAACAACAUGUGAUACCAAACCAAACUAAUGUCCUUCUUCUACAUAUUGCCUACUAGAUACAGAUGAAGCAGCAAAUACUACUAUGUUCCCUGUUGAUACUUGUAAGUAACUGAACAAGUACAUCCUAGAUAAAAUCAUUAGAAGGUGAGGAUAGAGGAGGACAAAUGAUCAGCAAUACUACUUUUGAAAGGUAGCUGUGGGUUGCUGACAGUCAAUUUUGAGAUGGCUUUUCAGGUAGGCUUUAGGAAUUUGGUGACUAUUUAAUGUGACAGGAUGAUUUUUUUUUUAUGCCAAGCUUUCUAUCGAAAUAGCAUAAAAUAAAAAGAGCUGUAAUUAUAGGUCAUGUACAUACAGAAGUGACGCAGCUUGUUUCAGGUGAUCAAGUCUUUGGUCAAAGGACAAGAGUGCCACUCUUUGUGCUGUAGAUUGCUACUAGUUUCUUUCCUGAGUCCUUUAAUAUGUCGUUAAAGUCCUCUGCCUGCCUUCUCCAAAGAGUCUCAGAGUUAAAACAUCGAUACUGUAAAAUAUACUACCCUGUUAUUGUACUGGUAAUAAUAUUAUGUGUUAAGCCUGUGAAUGCAAACUAAGUGUAUAUUCUAAACUACAUAUUUUGUUCUGGCAAACGAGAAAAAUUGCAGGAUUUACUUGCAAAAGGUGUUUUGCCUAGUUUCUCCAUACUUGAUGUUAAUCUGCCCUUGCCAGCUAUUAAAGUAGAAAUUACUGCCACUGUGUUGCACAAAAGCAGAGAUUCUGCAAUUGUGAACUUAAUGUAGUUUGGAACACUUUGUAGUCCUCAGAGUCAGACACAUUUUCCCCAUCAUCCAAAUUAUUUUAAAUUGCAAGUAAAGUUUUGCAAAACUGUUACCAUUAUUUUCUCAGUUCACCUAAGCUGUUUUUACAAGACUGUUAUCUACGCGAAAUCACAACAUCUUUUAUUAAAAUAGUUAUAAGAGCAUUGAACCUGUCAGCUGUAAUUUGCAGCUUUUUCUCCUUUAGAUUCUGCGCUCUUGCUGAAAAAACAAAAAACCCACAGAAAACAAACCCCAGUAACCUAAGGUACAAUCCAUUUUUUUAAUAUUUGCCCAAUGUGAAUUUCAGAGAAGAUACCUACAAAGUGUAUUUGAAGAGUAAAGAGCAGAACUGCCAAUGGGCAGCCUGAAAAAUGUCUGAUGGUUUUGUGACGCUCUGUGGUCAAGAGCAUCACAGCUAUAGGAUAAAGAGGAUAUUGUUGUCUUUGCAUCUUCUAUAUGUAAGAGUGCAUUUAAGCUGAAAUGAAGGCUAGAACCUGAGCUCAGAACUUCAGUCAAGAGGAAAGUGUCUUCUUUUUAGAUUUUUCUAUGACUUAGCCUACAGUUCUGCCUACAGAUCUCCAAAUCACUGCUAGAGAAGCAGAUGCAGUUGUUUAUGUGCAGGUGUGCUGUGUACCUGAUGUAAUCCUGCAAGUUCUACAUCCACAGAAUUUCUGCAGAAUUCUGAGUGAUGUCUGUGCUUGGAAGGCUUCCAAGUCAAGGUUCUCACAUCAGAAGAAUCUCAAUCAAAGCUUUUUCAAAAGCAAACAAACAAGCAAUCUUUCUGUAUUGCUGACAAUCUUCUCUGAGUCUCAGUUCCCCAAACCUCUCUCCUAUUAGUUACCAAUGUCUGUGACACAGAUCAUAUUUUGUUUUCAGAUGUUAAUGUAGCUUUUACUUCAUGAUCACAUUAAUUGCAUUUGUGCUGUGGAGAUUUUUAAUUCCAAAAGGUACUGCCAGCUUUUGUGUACUCAAUUUAUAUUUAAGAAGAGUUUCUGCUCUUCACAGUGACCUCUGCUGACUUUCAUAUAUUUAGAAUCUGAAGUUGUGAAUCUCCUUGAUUCAUCUUCUGUUAAAGAAUGUUGGCUAUGCAAAAACUGGUGGCAGAGGGGUUAAGGAGGAUGAAAAAAACUAUUACAGAGAACCAGGAUAUGGCAGGGUAUUCGUUCCCUGAAGGUAUGUUGCCACCAAGAGUAACAGCGAGAAUAAUGAUCACACAAAGAGAAAAAAGAGCACUGGAGAUCUAUGAAAUUUACUUGAUUUUGAAAAACUUAAUUGAUGGAGGACUUGGAGGUCUGCCAAUUCCUACUGAGCUCCUUACAAAAAGUGGGUUGGCACUGUGUGCAUGUGGCAUAUCAUCUGUCGGACAGAGUAAGUCAGCCAUUCACCUGGCUCUGCUCUAGCUAUGCACAGCUGGGAAUUUCACAUCAGAAAGGAGAGGAGGAUGCACAAACUCCUUCUGAUGUUUCAGAGGAUGAGCAUGCUAAAAUGCAAAGCCCUGGGUGCUGGAGGUAGCUGUGAUGAGUUUAUGGCACAGGAGCCACAGCUGGUAGGAAGACACAUGAUCUCACCCUAAAAUGUUGUAUUAUUUUAGUCUCUUUUUUACACACAUGGAAGAAUCAAACAGUUUGAGGAUGACAAAUUUGAGAAGCAAAAUGGAAAAGGACCUGAUUGUUACAAGAGAAGAACUAAUGAGCUUUUAAUAGAUGAGUAGGAACAAGAUGAAAUGCCGCAAUACUCAGUGCAAGGUCACUGGGUAUUAUUAAAGGCAAAACACUAGAAUUUCUGCUCUAGACGCUUGGUGAUUAAGGAGUCCACACAUGAACAAGUAGUUCUUGCUCCAGUCAUCAAACAGCCACACCAAAGAAUGGGUAAGAUGAAAGGCAAGGCUGCUGUGGAAUGUGGAGCUGAUGAGAUAGCCGCGUGCUGAGAACAGGUUGCAGGUGAAAUAGAUGAAUGACUUCAGUUGACUGCACCUUCUGUAAAAUGUAAAGAAGCAGAGAAGAGUAAGAACUUUUCAAUGAUUCUAAGAAAACAGAGCAAAAAAAGUUGAAACAAAAGAACCUGAGGAAUUGCUUGCAUGACACUGCAGUCUUAUGGGUUAUGCUGUCAGCAAAAAAAUUGUGAGUUUUCUGCAGACUCAACAGGAAUGGCCGUGUGGCAGCAGCUAGCAGUAUGUGCAGUGCUGGAAGAGAUAGGAACCAAUUGGAACAGUGACUGGAAGCAGAAGUCUUCGGAAGAGCAUCAGCAUUCUGCAGUGUGGGGAGAAUCCUGACCUGCCUCUUUAUACCGGUGGUGUGUUUAUUGGACUGGGACAAGUAUCUCUCAUUAGACAGGAAUUCUGAGUUUUUCCCUUCUUUUGUGUCAAUAACAUGAGUAUUGGAGAAGGAAAGUAGGUUGCUCUGCAUCUGAAAGGGAAAGCAGUGAAGUCUGUGAUCUCUGUUUGCUUAAAUGAUAGUCAGAAAAAAAAAAGCCAUUUUAGAGCUUCCUACUUCAGAACUUCCUUUUCUAAGUCUUGAAGGAAGCUGCUUACAAGAUCAAGCUGGAAGACUGAAUACUGGCAGAAUUUGGUAGGAAAUAAAUGUUCUUUGUCUUGUAGUAUAUAUUGCAUACAGUCUUGAUGUUGUCAUGUUGCCUGCACCAAAUUUCCUCCUCAGUUUACUUAAUAAUUAUUAUGUGAAUAA